GGCAAAUCUGGGAAGACUUCCACAGAGGAGGUGGCAAGCCGGAACAAGGCACACAAAUGCCAGCUGAGUGGAAGGUCAACCAGUCCAACUUCUCAUGUUUCAGAAGAGGAAAGCAAGGUCUGGAGAGGGAACGUGGCUUGCCCAAGAUAUGUUUCAAACUUUGAUGAAAAGCAGGGAAGUUUGGGAAGAAAAUCCAAGACUUCUCUGGAGAGAGACCAGGAAACAGGCUCAGAGAGAAGAAGGGAAUUAUGUACCUCGGUUUAGAGCCAAAGUGUCCUGCCUGCAUUCCAGCUGUUUCCAUCCAUGUCCAUGUCAACUGGCAUCUGGAACUACUCGUAGCAGCAUCCACUCAAUAUACCAGCCUGGAAGACAACGGAGCUGUCAUUCUGUUAAAAAAUUAAGAGAAGUACGCAGAACCUGCCUUUUUCUAAAUGAGAAGCUUUGGAAGCGACUGGACACUUUUGGC
rnacentral:lncRNA from 1 species